GAUGAACGCUGGCGGCGUGCCUAAUACAUGCAAGUCGAGCGAACAGAUGAGGAGCUUGCUCCUCUGACGUUAGCGGCGGACGGGUGAGUAACACGUGGAUAACCUACCUAUAAGACUGGGAUAACUUCGGGAAACCGGAGCUAAUACCGGAUAAUAUAUUGAACCACAUGGUUCAAUAGUGAAAGACGGUUUUGCUGUCACUUAUAGAUGGAUCCGCGCCGCAUUAGCUAGUUGGUAAGGUAACGGCUUACCAAGGCAACGAUGCGUAGCCGACCUGAGAGGGUGAUCGGCCACACUGGAACUGAGACACGGUCCAGACUCCUACGGGAGGCAGCAGUAGGGAAUCUUCCGCAAUGGGCGAAAGCUUGACGGAGCAACGCCGCGUGAGUGAUGAAGGUCUUCGGAUCGUAAAACUCUGUUAUUAGGGAAGAACAAAUGUGUAAGUAACUAUGCACGUCUUGACGGUACCUAAUCAGAAAGCCACGGCUAACUACGUG
rnacentral:rRNA from 1 species